UACAGAGGGGGCAAGCGUUGUUCGGAAUUACUGGGCGUAAAGGGCGCGUAGGCGGCCUCUUAAGUCGAACGUGAAAUCCCCGGGCUCAACCCGGGAACUGCGUCCGAUACUGGGGGGCUUGAAUCCGGGAGAGGGAUGUGGAAUUCCAGGUGUAGCGGUGAAAUGCGUAGAUAUCUGGAGGAACACCGAUGGCGAAGGCAGGUCUCUGGGCCACUACUGACGCUGAGAAGCGAAAGCAUGGGGAGCGAACAGG
rnacentral:rRNA from 1 species